rnacentral:tRNA from 1 species
CAGAGACUAGUUUAAUAAAAACACCUACCUUCGAACUAGGAACUUCAGGCCUCACCCUGAGUCUCUAA